rnacentral:rRNA from 1 species
AUUGAACGCUGGCGGCAUGCUUUACACAUGCAAGUCGAACGGUAGAGGGGGCAACCCCUUGAGAGUGGCGAACGGGUGAGUAAUGCAUCGGAACGUGCCCAGUCGUGGGGGAUAACGCAGCGAAAGCUGUGCUAAUACCGCAUACGAUCUCUGGAUGAAAGCGGGGGACCGAAAGGCCUCGCGCGAUUGGAGCGGCCGAUGUCAGAUUAGGUAGUUGGUGGGGUAAAGGCUCACCAAGCCAACUAUCUGUAGCUGGUCUGAGAGGACGACCAGCCACACUGGGACUGAGACACGUGCCAGACUCAUACGGAAGGAAGCAGUGGGGAAUUUUGCACAAGGGGCGAAAGCCUGAUCCAGCAAUGCCGCGUGCAGGAAGAGGGCCUUCGGGCUGUAAACUGCUUUCGUACGGGACGAAAAGGUCUGGGUUAAUACCCUGGGCACAUGACGGUACCGUAAGAAUAAGCACCGGCUAACUACGUGCCAGCAGCCGCCGUAA